UGUUAGUUGAAAUGUUGGUACUUUCACAUAACACUAACUGUGGUCUAGCUGUCAACAUGAUUGGGAUCCCAAGCUGGCUCUGUACUUUCUUACUAUAAAACUAUGAAUUAUUUACUUAACACCCUCAACUCUCUUUUCUCCUCAUCCGUUAACUGGAAAGACCAGAGUGCCUGAAUCAUAAGAGUGUUGGAGAAUUAAAUGAGAUGAACUGAUUGAUUGAACGCUAACUUUGCAGUCAACCACAAGUGUCCCCUGGGGAAAUAGUGAUGAAGGAAACAUCACUACUCUUAAGGGGAUUGCGACAGGACCUUGCUAAAUUGCUGAGCUGGCUUUGAACUUGCCAACCUCCUGCCUCAGCCUCCAGAGCCUCUGGGAUUACAGCACCUCUGAAAUGCUGGCUGGACAUAAUUUGGAAUGGGAAAUAAAAUAUAGAGCAAAUUUUCAGCCUUGGGAACCAAAUAGCUGUGGGAUUGUCCUAAUUAAUUAAUUGGUAUGAAUAAUUUCUGAACUUUAUGGAGACAAAUUAUAUAUUGCCUCUCAGCAGUCUCAUGAAAUUCACAAAGAAGCAGAGAUUCAUGCCUGGGGAGGUGGAAAGUGAGACAGUCCUUCCCUGUAGGCCUGGGCUGAUCUUCUUCCCUCAGGGAGCAGUCAAAUUCCCCCAGGGCCAAAAGUUUAAUGAUUAAGCACCAUAGACUGAAGCAAAAAUAGGUGAGGCAUCAUAGCAGUGUGGGGCUGAUAUCUUUCUCCCCCUUCACCUGGAGACAGUCUUUAGUGAGGCAUGCCUGGCCUACAGGAUGACUUCCCUGAUGAACGACUUACAUAGGGGAAUCAGUCUCUCCCUCUCCCUUCUUUCUUGGGCAAAGAUGUUCUUUGAAGCAACGCUUCCUUCUGCUGUUUCACUUUGCAGUUAUCACCCCUUAGUAGGACCAAGAACCACAGGAAGGUUCAGGAGCCCUGCUCUUGUUUAUUUCUGCUUAUGUCAGGAUAGGUAUCUGGUCUUAAGACAUUCUCCCAACAUCUCCUCCAUCUAAACUCCCUUGGGACUCAUUGUGCCUACAGUUCACGCUUCCCAUUUUCAAAGUGCCAAUUCUCCCUUUGUCCCUUAAUUUCAGGGAGUUUCCUAUUUGGAAGCUACUUGAUUACAGAUAAAGACUCUAUUCUCUAACCCUGCCUCUUAUAGUCAUUUCCAGAAAUGAAGUACUCUUGCUUACUCUUGGACUCAUUUUUUCUGGUUGGGUCGAUCUCAACACCUGGGUAGGAUAAGAAAACUACUUGGCCUGUGUGAACAUAGGGAGUAAUGUUACUCUUACACUAAUUGGAAACAUACAAACACCUUAUAUUUCAAUGACCAUUACCUGAAUUUCAUUCAUCUCCUUCAUAGUUUCUGGAGAAUAAUAAAGGUCAAGGAUAAUAGCCUACAGUCUUCAAGUGUGUAUCAUCUUCUGAGUUGUAGACAUUUUGGUUCAGUACACAAUUAAACAGGCUGCUGAUCUAAAGCAGGUGAGGAUCUAUUCUGAAUAACCAUUGGUGUGGUCUACUAUGGCUAGAUAUUUGCUCAUAAGAUGAUGACUCUGGAUUCUGCAGUCAGUGAUAUCAUCCUGGUACCUUGAAAUCAGCAAUAACGAAGGUUUACACCAAGAGAAUUGGCAAAUGUUACAAGUCAGUGUCAGAUCAGGAGAGGUGGACAAUGACCAAAGGAGGCAGAUUUAAAAGGGCCACUAAAUGGGGCUUUAUUGACAUAUCACUCCCAGACAGAACUCGAUCAGACCCACAGAGUGGACAGGAGAAGGGUCUGAGGAGAAACCGCGUGGAAGCUUGACCUGACUGGACUUUUAUGGGGCUUACAGCAGGAAGGGAAGGGCUUGGGACAGGAAAAGGUGUUUUUAGGGUCCCUUGCCCCCUUGGAGUUGGUCAGGGGAGUUGGCUGAACUCCAGGAUUGGCCAGGAGGUCCUGCUGAUUGACAGGCGUUAGUCAGGAGAUCUUGCUGAUUGACAGGCAUUUCCGCUGGCAUCUGAUUGAUGUUCUUUUCCCCUGUGGGCUGCUUUGUUCUAAGUCGCCACUAAGUCACCACAAAGUCGCCACCACUGACCUAACAGUCAGAACCUUCUUUUUUUAGAUGUCUUACUAGCACCUCACUUUUUUUCCACACCAAAUAUCUCUGUACCACUUUUCAUAUUAAAAGGUUAAAAUAGGUAUCCCAGUCUAGUAUGGAAUAUGAGGACUGGAAAUUGUGACUUCAUCCAGUUAAUCCAUACCCUUAGAAGGAGAGUGAGAGAUUGGGGGAGAAAUCAGACAUAACAGUGACUCAGUAGGCCUUGGGAUGGUGUCCCAUAUGGGACAUCUUAUCUUUCAACAAAAUUUCUCCAUCUCUACAGUGUUCUAUGCUUUAUAUCUCUAUUCUUACAUCCUUUCUUUGGACAUUCUACUUCUUCCCACUGGAUAACAAUAGUCCUAGCAACUCUCCCUUGUGUCCCUCCCCAUGUCCAACAGAAGCUGACCCCAGUUAUGGCUCUAAGUAAAUGAAGUUUUUCUGGAUCUAGACUGCCCUUGGUUCUGAAGAAAGAAGGGAUGCUUUGUUUAUUUGGAGGUUUAAAAGGGACUAGUUUUCUCAAACUUCAUGUCUGUCUUUUUUAUCAAUGGAGCUGUAUAUAGCUUGUUUUCUUCUGAAUAACCUAAAGAAAAGCAUAGAAAGCAUGGUUAUGCAUAUUCCUCCAAAGAGUAACCAGAAUUGGCUCAUUUGAUGAACUAAAAUUCACCUAUUCAAAAAGACUGAGCUGGUCAUGGUGGUACAAUAGGCUCAGGAGGCUGGGGCAGGAGGAUCACAAAUUCAAAGCCAAUCACAGCAACUUAUCAAGGCCCUGAGCAACUUAGCAAGACCUAGUUUCAAAAUAAAAAGGUCUAGGGAUGUGGAUCAAUGGUGAAGUGCCCCUGGGUUCAAUCCCUAGUAUGUGUCCUGCUCCAAAAAUAAAAUAACAUUGAAGGUCUUCAGUCUUCUGCUGAAGAUGCAACAGCAUUGAUCCUGAACUUCCUGAACCCAUCCUGUUGCAAAGACCUAUGUUAGCUGAGAUAUCAAAGAUGGAGGUCCCUUCUCAAGGAGAAAUAUUCCCCUUUAUGCUUCAGUUCAGGCAUUUAUUACCUUGUUGUGUUUUACUCCAGUGAACUUAAACUUUCAGAUAAACAUGACAGGGAAAGAUAGUUCUAAUAUUUGCAAAGAAAACACAGAACUCUGAUUUAGCUACUUAAGUCCCUUCAAUAAUCCCAUGCAAGGGGCCACUUCUAAAUAAUAGUCAUUGCAACCUUAUGUUCAUAGGUUUGAAGGCAUCUUAUGCUCAAACAGCCUUGGAAAAGCUGUAGAAAGCCUACUGGAAGGGAAGCUUAUUGGGAGGGGACUCUACUGUAGCCCCAAACCUACUCAUUCAUUCUUCUUCUAAUCCAGAGAGUGCAAUUAAAAUAUAGCUUUUGCCUGUAAAACCCACUUUAGUUUAUCCCUCAGAAUUUUCAGGAGACACCCACUUGCUAAAGAUUAAUACUCAGCAUGAAGAGGAUUAAGUACUUACACAAUUCCAGCAGUCAAGAGGAGAUUAGGGAAAUCAUUCUGACUUGCUUGUUGGCUCCCAAAUACCCCCAGUACCUUAUUUGACACUAGUGAGUUCAGUUUCCAGUUUAGAUGAUGUCAAGAAACUUUAAAAUAAUUUUUUUUCAAUGAUGCAGCAUAAUUUAGUAGGUAAGAACAGAAACUUUGGAGUGAAGUGUCUUAGACUGAAUUUUAACCCUACAAUUUGCUAAUAGUGUGACUUUAAGAGAAUUACUUGA